CCUACGGGUGGCAGCAGUGGGGAAUAUUGGGCAAUGGGCGCAAGCCUGACCCAGCAACGCCGCGUGAAGGAAGAAGGCUUUCGGGUUGUAAACUUCUUUUCUCAGGGACGAAGCAAGUGACGGUACCUGAGGAAUAAGCCACGGCUAACUACGUUCCAGCAGCCGCGGUAAUACGUAGGUGGCAAGCGUUAUUCGGAUUUACUGGUGGUAAAGGGCGUGUAGGCGGGAAAGAAAGUCAGAUGUGAAAGUCAGCGGCUCAACCGUGGAAUUGCAGUGGAAUCUGGAGGCCUUGAGUGCACACAGGGAUGCAGGAAUUCAUGGUGUAGCGGUGAAAUGCUUAGAUAUCAUGAAGAACUCCGAUCGCGAAGGCAAGUGUCCGGGGUGCAACUGACGCUGAGGCUCGAAAGUGCGGGUAUCAAACAGGAGUAGAUACCCCAGUAGUC
rnacentral:rRNA from 1 species